rnacentral:rRNA from 1 species
CGCCUGUUUAUCAAAAACAUGUCUUUUUGAUUAAAUAAAAAGUCUAGCCUGCCCGGUGAAUUUUUAACGGCCGCAGUAUACUGACUGUGCAAAGGUAGCAUAAUCUAUUGUCUUUUAAUUAAAGGCUUGUAUGAAUGGUUGAAUGAGAUAUUAACUAUUUUUAUUUUAAUAAAAAUGAAUUUUAAUUUUUAGUAAAAAUGCUAAAAUAAAAAAAUUAGACGAGAAGACCCUAUAAAUCUUAAUUUUAUUUUUUAUAAUAUUAAUUUUGAAAAUUUUUAAUAAAUUAUAAAAAUAAAAUUUUAUUGGGAGGAUAAUGAAAUUUAAUAAACUUUUAUUUUUUUUUAUAAAUAUAAUUAAAUUAUUGAAUAUAUAAUUAUAAAAUAUUUAAAAAAUUAAGUUACUUUAGGGAUAACAGCGUAAUUAUUUUAAAGAGUUCUUAUCGAUAAAAUAGUUUGCGACCUCGAUGUUGAAUUAAGAAUUAAUUUAGGUGUAGAAGUUUAAAUUUUAAGUCUGUUCGACUUUUGAAUUCUUACAUGAUCUGAGUUCAUACCGG